AACUGAUGAUGUUUUAUAUAAGAGUAGUGGACAGAAGCGAUUUCUGAAACUGCUUUGCUGAGGUU